rnacentral:rRNA from 1 species
UACGUAGGGGGCUAGCGUUGUCCGGAUUUAUUGGGCGUAAAGAGCGUGUAGGCGGCCAUGUAGGUCUGCUGUGAAAACUCGAGGCUCAACCUCGAGACGUCGGCGGAAACCAUCUGGCUAGAGUCCGGAAGAGGAGAGUGGAAUUCCUGGUGUAGCGGUGAAAUGCGCAGAUAUCAGGAAGAACACCCGUGGCGAAGGCGGCUCUCUGGGACGGUACUGACGCUGAGGCGCGAAAGCGUGGGGAGCGAACAGG